AAUUUUGGCUAUAUAUAGCUAUAUAUGUGUGACGGUAACAAGUUAAAUAGAUUAGGUAGUCGGGAACAAACUAAACAGAUUAAGUGGAAGGCACUGCUCAACUUGAAACCAGCUUCGAACAAAUUCUAUUUUUAAUAUAGAGAAAAUUUUUAGCUCGAACAUCAUACAAAGACACAUUUGCUUACUCAUUGUGAAAAUGAAAGCUAUUAUUCUGCUCUUAAUUCUUGCGGUUUUUGUGACCGAUGUUUGCAAUUUGGCUUCUGGAAAUUGGGUUAAAAAAGAAAAAAGUCAAGAAAGUACGCUUUACUAUAUUGCUAACGAAGUUAAAAAAGUAUUGACAUUAAUAAAGGGUAUGUUGUACGAAAACCGACAAAGAGACAGUUCGCUAUCUGAAAACGAAGAAGCUAUAUAUUAAUUUCUGAGCCUUUUAAAUAUAAAAAAAUUAAUUACCAGCUUAUGAAUAACAGAUAUAUUUUUAAAAGAGGUUCUUUCUUUAAAAUGUUUUUUUUUUUAAAUGUUUUUUUUUUUAAGUUUGUUUUAAUUAUACAUAUGUAGUUAUUAAAAAUUAUCAGAAAAAUGUAGAAAUUAUUUUCUAUAAUAAAGUUAUUUAAUUU
rnacentral:lncRNA from 1 species